rnacentral:snRNA from 1 species
AUACUUACCUGGCAGGGGAGAUACCAUGAUCAGGAAGAUGGUUUUCCCAGGGCGAGGCUUAUCCAUUGCACUCGGGAUGUGCUGACCCCUGCGAUUUCCCCAAAUGUGGGAAACUCGACUGCAUAAUUUGUGGUAGUGGGGGACUGCGUUCGCGCUUUCCCCUG